CAGGUGCCGGCAACCUGUUCAACCAGAGCGGAACUGGAAGAGGCGACCAGAAGGGCCUUCCGUGAGCGCCUGCAGCAGAAGAAAGGGGUUAUGGAGGGCGCCGUCCACCACCUCCACUCCAGAAUAUUGGAAAUGCAGGAAGAGAUGAUGGACUAUGAAGAAAACCUCAGACUGGAAAUGCAGGCAUGUAUGAGAUACGUACAAAUGCUCCCGUCGGAAGGGGCUCAAAACCUGGCCGAUCCUCAGGAAAUCUCUGAUGCCAUGGAGCAGCACCUGUUCACCAAAUUCUGGG